rnacentral:rRNA from 1 species
UACGGGGGGUGCAAGCGUUAUUCGGAUUUAUUGGGCGUAAAGAGCGCGUAGGCGGUUCUUUAAGUCAGGUGUGAAAGCCCGGGGCUUAACCCCGGAAGUGCAUUUGAUACUAGAGAACUUGAGUAUGGGAGAGGGAAGUGGAAUUCCUGGUGUAGAGGUGAAAUUCGUAGAUAUCAGGAGGAACACCGGUGGCGAAGGCGACUUCCUGGACCAAUACUGACGCUGAGGCGCGAAGGCGUGGGGAGCAAACAGGAUUAGAUACCCUGGUAGUCCACGCAGUAAACGUUGAACACUAGGUGUAGCGGGUAUUGACCCCUGCUGUGCCGCAGUUAACGCAUUAAGUGUUCCGCCUGGGAAGUACGGUCGCAAGAUUA